CAAAUACUCCCUCCGUCCGGAAAUACUUGUCAUCAAAAUGGAUAAAAGGAAAUGUAUCUAGACGUAUUUUAGUUUUAGAUACAUCUCUUUGUAUCCAUUUUGAUGACAAGUAUUUUCGGACGGAGGGAGUAGAAA
rnacentral:pre_miRNA from 1 species